CCUUCGAUAGCUCAGUUGGUAGAGCGGGGGACUGUAGAUUUAUAAUUGUGAUCCCUAGGUCGCUGGUUCAAAUCCGGCUCGAAGGA
rnacentral:tRNA from 2 species